AACGCCAUCUACUACCAGGAGGCGGCGGAACUGGCUGUGGGUUACCACUGCUCCUGCCGGCACAGCAUGGGCGGGCAGCAUUGUCACGGUAGUGGUGGGCAGCGUGGCGCGACCAAGCCCUGAGGCGAAGGCCAUGUCGGCAGGCCAGGAGGUGCUAGUGGUGGUGUUCAGCACCGCUAUGCCCGUGCUGGUGUUGGAAUUGGUGUUGGUGAUCGUGUGCAUGAAGCGGAAACGCGUACGUGACUGCCCGUGUCGGGAUGAGGAGGCGCGGCGUCAGAACGAGCAGAACAUGGUGCACAACGCUGUGGGCGCCGUCAACAGUGUCUGGAUCACCACAUGAUCUACUCCUAAACUUCCCCAUCAAGAAACCCUUCAACACCGUGCCACCACCUCCCCCCCUUGCAUCACCCACACGACACCCACCUCCACCACCAUCACCUCAACGAUCACGACUACAAGAAUCCCGCGGAGAACGCAUACUCCGCAGUGCCCAUGCGCAGCAGCAGGACUCAACAAGGAUGUGUCGCUGCUCUCGCUGGCUGACCGCCUUGAGAAGGACAUUGAGGCACCGCCCAGCCCCGCGUCACGCCCACCUAGGACUCCAGCGCCCCAUGCAAGGUGUUCCGGAAUUCCUUCCUGCCGCGCACAUACAGCCACAGAGGAGUUAUGGGUGGCAGGAGGUUGAUGAAAUGUGUGGUGGUGUCACAAGUGAAGCACAGUGAGCGUUCCUGCUGGGUGAAGCAAUGAUGAGACCAGCGUCAGCACUCAGCAAGGCUUGAAAUCAAGCGACCGCCGGCAGAGAGGAGCCUUCUCCUGGACUUUUGACGAGUACCUUGUUGAAGCACAGAACAUAGACAGCGUUGGAAAUUGGACUAGUACAGUUUGACCAGGGUCCAACAUUGCACCAGGAUGAAGUGAUACACGUGUGUAGAGGUGCCAGGAGGACGGACUCUUGGAACAAGCCUUCCGACAACAGUCAUCAGCCAUCAGCCAUCAGGCAAGCGUGGCGGAACCACUCUGUUGAUUUCCAGCAGCAAAACGUGCGGGAAACACACCACCGAGUAGCUUUCACACGGCUGACAGUGUCCACUCACUCUCUGGCGGUAGAAGUAGUCGGUGGAGGGGGGAGGGUAGGCGAGGACGCAGCCGCUUGCACCUGGAGGAACGUGUGUGUGUGUGUGUGUGUGUGUGUGUGUG